rnacentral:rRNA from 1 species
CGUAGGGUGCGAGCGUUAAUCGGAAUUACUGGGCGUAAAGCGUGCGCAGGCGGUUUUGUAAGACAGAUGUGAAAUCCCCGGGCUCAACCUGGGACCUGCAUUUGUGACUGCAAGGCUAGAGUACGGUAGAGGGGGAUGGAAUUCCGCGUGUAGCAGUGAAAUGCGUAGAUAUGCGGAGGAACACCGAUGGCGAAGGCAAUCCCCUGGACCUGUACUGACGCUCAUGCACGAAAGCGUGGGGAGCAAACAGGAUUAGAUACCCUGGUAGUCCACGCCCUAAACGAUGUCAACUGGUUGUUGGGUCUUUACUGACUCAGUAACGAAGCUAACGCGUGAAGUUGACCGCUGGGGAGUACGGCCGCAAGGUUG